ensembl:snoRNA
AAACUUUUAUAAUUCCUAAGCAUGAUUAGCUGUUUACACAUAUAAGAGGUGCCUACCUCAAACCUUGUGAACAAUGUUCACACAUUAUCCAUCUGACA